GACGGCGGCCACUGGUACAGUGCAGGCGGGAUCAGGAUCACGUUCGCGCGCUUGGAUACUUGUGCCAGCCACGGGCUAAACAAAGCCACCACUAUUUGUUCGCGGGAAUUGGGAAAAUAAACACACUGGGGCGACCUGGCACCCUGGGUGCUUUUGCCAAGCAACGUACAAAACUCUCCUCACGAACAACGCUUUUGGAGGUAGUAGUUUGAUCCUCGAGGGCCGGGCUGUUAAAGCGAAAGGUUAUUAAUCUGCUCGAGAGAGCAGAGCACGCGGCAGGAAACAAACACAAACCCUGCUGGCUGCUGCUGCUCGUGGGCGCGCCAGUACGUGUCCGCGUCCUAAUUCCUAGGAGGCGGUGCCGGUGCGUGACUCUCUGCUGUGCUGGGCGCCUCUGUUGCUUGCCUUGCCGGUGUGCGUGCCAAACGAACGAAACGAGCGGGCACUACCAACAGUGGUGGUGGCCACCGGCAAAAAAAAAAAAAGAAAUAAUUCUCGGCAGCGCGAGCUCGUACUACCAGUCUACUACCACCGUCCAGUCGUCCACCGGCCACGGGCCACCGCACCGCACAGGCACCGGCACCGGCACCGGCACCGCAUUUGCUUUUGGAAGCUACCGCGG
rnacentral:lncRNA from 1 species